GGGGAAGGGUUACAGGGGGUGAUCUUUAUUCCAAGAUCCCAGCCUCUGUCUCUGUAGUUAGGGAUUUCUGUGUUGUGGUUGCCUUUCUGAGGUAACUGUGACUAUUAUUCUUCCCCAAUUAGGUGAUUUAUUAAGGUAACUGCCACCAACGUGAGGCUUUUGAAUUAUCACCGAUGAAAUUUGGCUCCACAGACGCAGAUAAGAUGAAAUGAAUCAGUUGUUAACAAAGAACAACAAGUUUAUUGCGUACAAAGCUUAUGGUUACAGGUUGAUUGAUUUACUUAUGGAACUUUAGAUAAACAAGUGGUUUAAUAACUCUUAUAACCACCACAACAGUAGUCUCUGGUGUAAAUCCACCCUCACUCUCCUACUGAUGAUAUAAAUUGUAGUGAACUCUAACCUCAGCUGAGCUCCUUAGUGAACAAUGUCCCAACUACAAUAAAAACUUUUAAUUUGAUCUAAUACCGAUCAAAUCCCUGAUCACUAGUCUUUCUCAACCAGAGAUCUUGACUAGGCUCCCUUUAGUCUGCCUUGACUAAAGAUUGUUGGCCAGGCCUGUCUCAGCCCUUCUUGACUGAAAAGCCUCCAGCCACGCACACACACACACUCUCUCUCUCUGGCUUCUCUUUUUAAAAACUUCCUUUUUUUCCUUUUCUUGGCUCCGCCCACUUCUCCCUCUCAUGAGCUAGCCAGCUUCGUCUCCUUGAUAACAGCACUACUGUGGAUUGAAACAAGAUGGCUUCUGUUUCAGCUACUGUGUCAACUAAAACACAAAUACAUACUCCAACAGACAAAAUUAAACACAAUAACUAUGACUUUGCCACAUUCAUCAACUGCAACAUUUUGCUACAUGCACCACCAAAGGAGUCAUUUACCUUAUUACUUGUCCCUGUUCCUUGAUGUAUGUCGGCCAGACCAGUAGACAAAUUAAACUCCGUGUAACAGAACACAAGAGUAAGAUUAGGAAUCAGACCAUUGACUCAAGCCUGUAUAAACAUUUUAAUGACACGAACCAUAGUCCUGAAUCAUUCAGGGUUCUAGUCCUAGAGGCAGUUACUUCUUCCUCAAACAUAGAUUUAUGCACCAAACUACAACAACGGGAAGCCUUCUGGAUAUUCACUCUUAACACAGUUCACCCUAAGGGUCUCAAUUAUUCUAUUUCAUUUCAAUGUUUUCUGUGAGCUUGGUGUAUACCUUUGGUGAAGUUCAAAUAGGUUCUUUUUAUGUAAAACUUCUUUCAAAUGGCUGAUACAUAGCCACACCUAUAUCCAUACUGGGCCCCUUUAAAAUUCUCCCUAUAUACAGUGAGUUCUACCUGCUUCUCCUGUGCUUGCCUAAGGAAUCAAACCAGUAGCAGAGCACCUCUGUAGGAGAGUUGAUGUAGGAGAGUUUAUAUGCUAAUAUUAUGGAGUUGUUCUAAAGGUGGCUGAUUUAAACAAGAAAGUUUGAAUGUGUGCCUGGUGCAUUUCACAUUACCUUAGCAAUCAUUCACAGUGAGGAAGUGAAGUAGUAGCCAGACAGCAGGACCUUGAAGCUGUCACAAAGCUCUCUGGAUGCUGGUCAGAAGAUUUUUCCACCAAAGAACUUUACAAGAUGGUUGUGAGGAUAAAAUGAGGUGAAGGAGUGUUUCAGCUAGGGAGAGGAAUGGACUAAAGAAAACAUUUGAAGGCAAGUAGCAUCCUUGUCAGGCAUACCUGAACUGGUGGUGUGAACUGGUGGUGUGCAUUGGGCAGCCCUCCUUCAAUUAGACAACUGGGAAAAAAGAAGCAAGUGCUUCACCACAAUUUCUGCUUAGCAGUGGGAAGCAGAUUCAUCAGAAGUGCUGGCUGUGGGAGCCCCCACAAUUGCUGCAGUCAUACCACAGAAAGCAUUGAAUGAAGCAAGCUGAAAUUGUCACGUCCUUUUCUUCAGAGAGCUUACAGCCAGCCUGGGCAGUGAUGUCAAGUCUGCAUGGGCCCUCCUGCUUUUCCUCAACUGUUCUCUUCAGUCUAUGCCAUUGCCUAUCCAAAAUGUUCCCUCUCACAAAGAGGAGGGGAGGGAAGAAAAAAGAGGAGAAUCACGUCCAUUAAAGCCAUAUGACUGCCAGUAUCAAAAGGGACCCAUCACAUCAGAGGUAGUAGUGGAAAAGCAACAAUAUUGGGAGUCAUUGAUGUUUUUUUCUGGCACAAUAACUUUUGUAAUGCCUGCUAGUGACAGGAGAGUCAUGACAUCAUGACAACAGCAAUCGUUCUGUGCUAGCCUAGUGUGAAUGUCUAUGAAAUGCCCAAAAUCAGGCCAUAAAAAGUGUAUUUCUUAGCAGCAAUUAAUACAUAGUAGCCUUGGACACUAUACUGUGUGGAAAGGGAAUAAAGGUCACAUAAAUAAAGACUGCUUCUGAUAAUGAAAGCAAAUGUAUGUUAAUCAUGGCAACAGAGGUCAAUUGAUGUGAUGUGGUAGUAACGCUAGUUAGAUACAGCUAUUAUGCAUAUCUAUAAAUGGAUGCAUAAAAUCACAAUGAAGCGAUGUUUUGUUUCCCCUUCAUAUAUGGAGGUGUACUUUUAUGGAUUGUUGACUUAUUUUGAGAAUUGGUUUAAGAUUACCUCAGGAUAAACAAAAUCUGAAGAGAGUUUAGAAUUUUGUUUGAAAUAUGGACUAUGCAGGAGACAAGUUUCAUCUGUGUAAUUUAGGGACCUGCUGGUGUAACAUAUGUUGAUCUCUAAAACAUUUUAACAUAAUUUACAUUUGUAUUAUAACGGAAGGCUACCAUUGAAAGUAAAUUGCUAUUUUUCUUAACAAAUUAAUGCUCAUCAGCAUUAGAGGUGAUUCAAAUAAAAAAUAAACCAAUGGAAAUCUAGUUUGAAGUAUUAUUAUAACUGGAAGACUGCAUUUUAUUUAUUAUGUUAUUGUUACAAUCAGAUAGAUGGAAAGUAAAAUUGUCAAUCCGAUCAAAACAAUUUUCAUGCAAGAAAACACAGUGUUAUAUGAUUGCAGCAUUAAAUUUUGAACAGUGAGUAAUGAGUAUAUGUGUGUAUGAUAGUAGGCAUUCACUUUACAACUGUAUUAACAAUGUUCCAAUUGUGAAUGUUUUUUCAGAACUGAUUUAGUAAUGUUGAAGAAAGUAUACUGGAUAAACUUUACUCUAAGCACUCGGGUUUUUGGGGGGCACCAUCUGCAACUCUUGUUCUGUUAAGCUUUCCUUUAUAAAACAUAUUAAGAAAGUAAUUGCUGCAGAUAACUCAACUGAUGUCUUAAUUCAAAAUUAUGAUAUAUCUUUCCUAAACUUUUGACCAGACUGUGGCCUAUCUUCCUCCCACAAGAACUGGAAUGAUGCCACUUUCUCUACUUUGGGUGCACGGUAUAAUUGAAGUGCUCAUUAAAAAGAGAAACUAUGUUGAAGACAUGCCUAGAAAUAAUCCUUCAAAAUAGAUUAAUACAUAAAAGUGGCACCUUAUUGGAGUCUGCUGCCAAAUAAAUCCAUAUGGUGUUCAUUAUUCAGACUUAGUUCUUAAU